rnacentral:rRNA from 1 species
CCUACGGGCGGCUGCAGUGGGGAAUAUUGGACAAUGGGCGAAAGCCUGAUCCAGCCAUGCCGCGUGUGUGAAGAAGGCCUUCGGGUUGUAAAGCACUUUCAGUGGGGAAGAAAGCCUUGGGGCUAAUACCCUCGAGGAAGGACAUCACCCACAGAAGAAGCACCGGCUAACUCCGUGCCAGCAGCCGCGGUAAUACGGAGGGGGCGAGCGUUAAUCGGAAUUACUGGGCGUAAAGCGCGCGUAGGCGGUCUGAUAAGCCGGUUGUGAAAGCCCCGGGCUCAACCUGGGAACGGCAUCCGGAACUGUCAGGCUAGAGUGCAGGAGAGGAAGGUAGAAUUCCCGGUGUAGCGGUGAAAUGCGUAGAGAUCGGGAGGAAUACCAGUGGCGAAGGCGGCCUUCUGGACUGACACUGACGCUGAGGUGCGAAAGCGUGGGUAGCAAACAGGAUUAGAUACCCUAGUAGUC